rnacentral:lncRNA from 1 species
AGCCCAGCUGUCAUUAUUGCUAACAACACGUGCAAGCCGCUACUCAGGGCCAGACCCUCAAGUCCACAGAGAUGAACACGACUCCUGCCCUGGGGAAUUUGUGGUUUAUGGUUCAGGAGUUAAUGGAUUCAGGUAGAACAGCCUGAGGCAGGCCCAUCCAGGGCCUACUUCAAAUCACCAAGGUGACGUCACUGAAUGCGAGGUUCGGAAGGAUGCACCCCUGCGCUCUGGAAGGAAGCCAGUGUCAGCCAACUCAGCACCCACUGCCCGGCUACCUCGUGUUCCUUCAUCUUCGUCACUCCGCACUUUGAGUGAAAUAACUCCUUCUUCGCUUUCCCCUCUAAAUCCCACCUACCUCACUCCGCACUUAACACAUCAGGUGAAAUAACUCCUUCACUUUCCCCCUUCAAAUCCUAUCUCACAUUGAAGAAAACAGUCCGAGCCAAGUCUCUGCAUGUCUCUGGGCCUCAGUUUCCCCGUCCAUAUGGUGGGAUGACUUCUAAGCCGUGUCUCUCCGCCAUCAUCCUUGCCUGAAGUCUGGGAGCCCUGGUCAUGCGCACUGCCCCUGUGGACCACCAGGGAGCAGCCUUUCCCCACCAAAGACACUGGCCUCUCCGAGUUCCCGUCGGUGUCCUUCUUGGACACAGCCUGGGUAUUGUGGGGCCUUGCCUGGCUUAUGAAUCGGCGAUUGUGCCCAGCCCCGAGCGGGCAUCUACAGAAAGGGCCCAUUGUCUGCAGUGAGGCUUUUUGUUCCAGCAGUGGCCUGGGGAAACUGGGAUUGGGCUGGGGGCCUGACUGGUUCCCAGGGGCUCCUGGUGGGUGUUGGGGUGUGAACCCAGGCGGACCCCUCUCCGCUCUCCCCCGCUGUCCGCCCCGAUCCCAUCUACCAGGCUGCUGUGCCGGGCACCGCUCACCUGUGCCUCGGCUCUGUCCGAGAUUCUCGCCCCUGCAGACCUCCUCUGCCACCCUCUGAGGCCCAUAGCACGUGCUCCUUCCUCCAGGCCGGGGUUCCUGUUACUUCCUUUAGCCUCAUUCAAUCCAACUGCACUUUAAGAGGGUAGGUGUCGGGAGCUGGGCUUCUCCCUGAGAUUUUGGCUCCAGGCAUUACCGCAGCCCGGUUUUCUUUUCCCUUUCACUGCAGCGGAGGGACGCCCAGGCUUUGGGCGCCGCCUGGGUCUGCAGCAGAGGCAGUGGCCUAACCCUGAGAGGUAGCCCAAGGUCAGGCCAGGGUCUGCGUCCUCCCCUCAGCUCUGCUGUCACAGACGACUGUGAACCCGCGGAGCUCCCAUCUCUGGAGCCUGGCCUGGGCCAGCGGCUCACAGUGCUGCGUGCGCAGUGCCUGGCUCAAUCCCACCUGCAGCCUGGGAAGUCACAGGGUCACCCAGGGCUCCACGGCCUCCCUGACCACAAAAGGGGAAUCGCUGCAGCUCCUGGCAGUGGGCGUGGUCCCCUGUGAGGCUCCGGGGCUUCCAACACCUGAAAAUAUAAUUAUAAAAGUAAUGUAUUCAUACUUUCAAAAUUCUGGAAAUUACAGAAAAGUAUAAAGGAGGUAUUAAGAAUUAAUAAUUCUACCAACCAGGCAACAAGGUCUUUUGAAGACGUACCAAAAAAAUCAAUUACCACUAGACUCCAACUACAAGAAAUAUUCAAGAAAGCUUUUUAAGCUGAAGAAAAAUAAUACUAAAUAGAAACAUGGAGCUACACAAAGGAAUGAAGAGGACCAGAAAUGGAGGCUACAUUGUCAAGCAUAAAUACUUUCUCUUAUCAUUUAAGUAUCUUUAAAAGAUGGUCAAUUGUGUAAAGCAAAAAUGAUAGGAAUGUACUCUGGGGCUUAUAAAAUAUUUAGAAGUAAAAUGUAUGACAUAAUAGCAUAAAGGCCAAAUGAAAGAUCCUUUUGGACACACUGUGUCUUUUUUCCCUGCUGCUUUGAGGGUUUUCUCUUUUUUGUUGAUUUUAAGCAAUUUGAAUAUGGUAUGAUGAAGUCUUAUUUUCUUUAUGUUUCUUCUGCUUGUGAUUCAUCGAGCUUCUUGUAUUUGUGGGUUCACAGUUUUCAUAACAUUUUAAAAAUAUUUGAACACUUUUACUUCAAAUAUUCUUGGUCUCUUUUCAUUCUCCUUUUCUCAAAAUAUAAUGCUGUAAAGUCUUUAUAAUAUACAUGACGUGGUAUACAAUUGGUUGAAAGUUGAAUGUGAUUAAAGUUGUGUACUAUAAGCUAUAAAUUUCACUAAAAUAACACAGCACAAAGUUAUAGCUAACAAGCCAACAAAGAAUAUUAUGAAUAACUUUAGGCCAAUAAAUCCAACAACUUACAUGAAAUGGAAAAGUUUCUUACAAGAC